CCUACGGGAGGCAGCAGUGGGGAAUAUUGCACAAUGGGGGAAACCCUGAUGCAGCGACGCCGCGUGAGUGAAGAAGUAUUUCGGUAUGUAAAGCUCUAUCAGCAGGGAAGAAAAUGACGGUACCUGACUAAGAAGCCCCGGCUAACUACGUGCCAGCAGCCGCGGUAAUACGUAGGGGGCAAGCGUUAUCCGGAUUUACUGGGUGUAAAGGGAGCGUAGACGGUCAGACGAGUCAGGAGUGAAAGCCCAGGGCUCAACCCUGGGACUGCUUUUGAAACUGCCGGGCUGGAGUGCGGGAGAGGAAAGCGGAAUUCCUGGUGUAGCGGUGAAAUGCGUAGAUAUUGGGAAGAACACCAGUGGCGAAGGCGGGUUACUGGACUGUAACUGACGUUGAGGCGCGAAAGCGUGGGGAGCAAACAGGAUUAGAUACCCUUGUAGUC
rnacentral:rRNA from 1 species